CGAAGCUCUCCUUGCCCGGAUUGUGCAGCUUGUACAGCAAGUUGAGACACGUUGGCACUGCUCUGUCUGCACGGACUUUGACUUGUGUAACACAUGUUACCAUAAAGGAGGCCAUAACCAUAAAAUGGAUCGUCUUGGCUUCGAUCUGGACGAUGGGUCAUCAGGCAAUGGCAAGCAAGAUACUUAGGAAAACUUCCAUCAGUCCGUACAGCUGUGUAUUCAGUCACUGAUGCACGCCUGUGGGUGCAAGGAUGCUAACUGCAGACUUCCUAGCAGUCACAAAAUGAAACAAGACAAUUAAUUUCUCAUUUAGUUAGAUUGAGUUACCUACAUGUAUGUUAAAGUUUCUUUGCUUGAAACAUUCAGUUAUCCCCAAGUUGAACUUGGAUAGUUUUGGUGACUUUGUUGUGUUAUAGAAAGUUUAAGUGUUCCCGUAUCUUGACAUUUUUGUUGUAUUUUGUCUACAAAAAAAUGGUAAUUUCAAUUCAGAAUUUCAUAUUUUCCUGUCAUCAGAUAAUUGAUUGAUAUGUGUGUUUAAAGUUGACUGGUUGGAUCUUUUUCUGAUUAUUUAUCAUAUAGAGGUUAAUACACGGCCUAGCCGGGCCGUUGAGUGAAAUAUGACCCGAGUGAGUCAUAAUGGCCCUAGACAUAGUCGAGGGACAUUAUGAGCACGAGGGCCAAUUUUCAGUCAAAGGCCCGGCUACGCCGUGUAAUAACCUCUUUAAUACAUGUUUGUUUUUCUUAUUUUGCAAGUUUAAAGUUUGUUUUUAGCUCACCUGAGCAUGAAGUGCUCAAGGUGAGCUAUUGUGAUUGCCCUAUAUCUGUCGUCCCUCUUCAACAAUUUGACUGUUUACACUCUAGAGGUCACAAUUUGGGCACAAUCUUAAUGAAACUUGGUCAGAAUGUUACCCACAAUAAAAUCUUGGACGAGUUCGAUAUUGGGUCAUCUGGGGUUAAAAACUAGGUCACCAGGUCAAAUUGAAGGAAAAGCUUGUUAACACUCUAGAGGUCACAUUUAUGAAUGUAUCUUCAUGAAAGUUGGUCAGAAUGUUUAUAUUAAUAAUCUUCAAGUCAAGUUUAAAUCUGGGUCAUGUACGGUCAAAAACUAUGUUACCAGGUCAAAUCAUAGGAAAAGCUUGUUAGCACUCUAGAGGUCACAUUUAUGACUGUAUGUUCAUGAAACUUAGUCAGAAUGUAUAUAUUGAUUAGCUCUAGGCCAAGUUCGAAUCUUGGUCAUGUGCGGUCAAAAACUAGAUCACCAGGUCAAAUUUAAGGAAAAGCUUGCUAAAAAUCUAGAGGUCACAUUUAUAAAUGUUUUUUCAUGAAAGUUGGUCAGAAUGUUUAUAUUAAUAAUCUCUAAGUCAGGUUCAAAUCUGGGUCAUGUGCGGUCAAAAACUAGGUCAUUAGGUCAUUAUAUUUAAAUAUAUAUUGAUUAGCUCUAGGUCAUGUUCGAAUCUUGGUCAUGUGUGGUCAAUAACUAGGUCACCAGGUCAAAUCAGGUCAAAUUGAAGGAAAAGUUUGUUUACACAUUUACAGGUCACAUUUAUAACUGUAUCUUCAUAAAAAUUGGUCAGAAUGUUCAUAAUAAUAAUUUCUAAGUCAAGUUUAAAUCUUGGUCAUAUGCGGUCAAAAACACCUCAUUAGGUCAUUAGGUCAAAUAAUAGGAAAAGCUUGUUAGCACUCUAGAGGUCACAUGUAUGACUGUAUGUUCAUGAAACUUAGUCAGAAUGUUUAUAUGGAUUAGCUCUAGGCCAAGUUCGAAUUUGGGUCAUGUGCGGUCAAAAACUAGGUCACCAGGUCAAAUAAUAGGAAAAGCAUGUUAACACUCUAGAGGUCACAUUUAUGACCAUAUGUUCAUGAAACUUAAUCAGAAUGAUAUUCUUGAUGAUCUUUAGGUAGAGUUUGAAACUGGGUAAUCAGAGGUAAAAACCAGACCACUAGGGUCAAAUUAAUAAAAUGCUUUGUAAACACUG